rnacentral:rRNA from 1 species
UACGAAGGGGGCGAGCGUUGUCCGGAAUCACUGGGCGUAAAGGGCGCGUAGGCGGCUCAUGAAGGCUGUGGUGAAAGUCCGGGGCUCAACCUCGGAUCGGCCGUGGCGACUCGUGGGCUGGAGCACUGUAGAGGCGGGUGGAAUUCCGGGUGUAGCGGUGGAAUGCGUAGAGAUCCGGAAGAACACCAGUGGCGAAGGCGGCCCGCUGGGCAGUGGCUGACGCUGAGGCGCGACAGCGUGGGGAGCAAACAGG